rnacentral:rRNA from 1 species
UAGGGAAUCUUCGGCAAUGGGGGCAACCCUGACCGAGCAACGCCGCGUGAGUGAAGAAGGUUUUCGGAUCGUAAAGCUCUGUUGUAAGUCAAGAACGGGUGUGAGAGUGGAAAGUUCACACUGUGACGGUAGCUUACCAGAAAGGGACGGCUAACUACGUGCCAGCAGCCGCGGUAAUACGUAGGUCCCCGAGCGUUGUCCGGAUUUAUUGGGCGUAA